rnacentral:pre_miRNA from 15 species
CCACUACUGUUGCUAACAUGCAACUCUGUUCUAUGUAAACGGGAAUUGCACUUUAGCAAUGGUGAUGG